AAAUUGAAGAGUUUGAUCAUGGCUCAGAUUGAACGCUGGCGGCAGGCCUAACACAUGCAAGUCGAACGGUAACAGAAAGCAGCUUGCUGCUUCGCUGACGAGUGGCGGACGGGUGAGUAAUGUCUGGGAAACUGCCUGAUGGAGGGGGAUAACUACUGGAAACGGUAGCUAAUACCGCAUAACGUCGCAAGACCAAAGAGGGGGACCUUCGGGCCUCUUGCCAUCGGAUGUGCCCAGAUGGGAUUAGCUUGUUGGUGGGGUAACGGCUCACCAAGGCGACGAUCCCUAGCUGGUCUGAGAGGAUGACCAGCCACACUGGAACUGAGACACGGUCCAGACUCCUACGGGAGGCAGCAGUGGGGAAUAUUGCACAAUGGGCGCAAGCCUGAUGCAGCCAUGCCGCGUGUAUGAAGAAGGCCUUCGGGUUGUAAAGUACUUUCAGCGGGGAGGAAGGGAGUAAAGUUAAUACCUUUGCUCAUUGACGUUACCCGCAGAAGAAGCACCGGCUAACUCCGUGCCAGCAGCCGCGGUAAUACGGAGGGUGCAAGCGUUAAUCGGAAUUACUGGGCGUAAAGCGCACGCAGGCGGUUUGUUAAGUCAGAUGUGAAAUCCCCGGGCUCAACCUGGGAACUGCAUCUGAUACUGGCAAGCUUGAGUCUCGUAGAGGGGGGUAGAAUUCCAGGUGUAGCGGUGAAAUGCGUAGAGAUCUGGAGGAAUACCGGUGGCGAAGGCGGCCCCCUGGACGAAGACUGACGCUCAGGUGCGAAAGCGUGGGGAGCAAACAGGAUUAGAUACCCUGGUAGUCCACGCCGUAAACGAUGUCGACUUGGAGGUUGUGCCCUUGAGGCGUGGCUUCCGGAGCUAACGCGUUAAGUCGACCGCCUGGGGAGUACGGCCGCAAGGUUAAAACUCAAAUGAAUUGACGGGGGCCCGCACAAGCGGUGGAGCAUGUGGUUUAAUUCGAUGCAACGCGAAGAACCUUACCUGGUCUUGACAUCCACGGAAGUUUUCAGAGAUGAGAAUGUGCCUUCGGGAACCGUGAGACAGGUGCUGCAUGGCUGUCGUCAGCUCGUGUUGUGAAAUGUUGGGUUAAGUCCCGCAACGAGCGCAACCCUUAUCCUUUGUUGCCAGCGGUCCGGCCGGGAACUCAAAGGAGACUGCCAGUGAUAAACUGGAGGAAGGUGGGGAUGACGUCAAGUCAUCAUGGCCCUUACGACCAGGGCUACACACGUGCUACAAUGGCGCAUACAAAGAGAAGCGACCUCGCGAGAGCAAGCGGACCUCAUAAAGUGCGUCGUAGUCCGGAUUGGAGUCUGCAACUCGACUCCAUGAAGUCGGAAUCGCUAGUAAUCGUGGAUCAGAAUGCCACGGUGAAUACGUUCCCGGGCCUUGUACACACCGCCCGUCACACCAUGGGAGUGGGUUGCAAAAGAAGUAGGUAGCUUAACCUUCGGGAGGGCGCUUACCACUUUGUGAUUCAUGACUGGGGUGAAGUCGUAACAAGGUAACCGUAGGGGAACCUGCGGUUGGAUCACCUCCUUACCUUAAAGAAGC
rnacentral:rRNA from 1 species